AUUGAACGCUGGCGGAAUGCUUUACACAUGCAAGUCGAACGGUAGAGGGGGCAACCCCUCGAGAGUGGCGAACGGGUGAGUAAUAUAUCGGAACGUGCCCAGUCGUGGGGGAUAACGUAGCGAAAGUUACGCUAAUACCGCAUACGAUCUAAGGAUGAAAGCGGGGGAUCGCAAGACCUCGCGCGAUUGGAGCGGCCGAUAUCAGAUUAGGUAGUUGGUGGGGUAAAGGCUCACCAAGCCAACGAUCUGUAGCUGGUCUGAGAGGACGACCAGCCACACUGGAACUAAGACACGGUCCAGAAUCCUACGGGAGGCAGCAGUGGGGAAUUUUGGACAAUGGACGCAAGUCUGAUCCAGCCAUUCCGCGUGCAGGAUGAAGGCCCUCGGGUUGUAAACUGCUUUUGUACGGAACGAAAAGGUCUCUCUUAAUACGGGGGACUCAUGACGGUACCGUAAGAAUAAGCACCGGCUAACUACGUGCCAGCCGCCGCCGUAA
rnacentral:rRNA from 1 species